UACGUAGGGUGCGAGCGUUAAUCGGAAUUACUGGGCGUAAAGCGUGCGCAGGCGGUUUUGCAAGCCGGAUGUGAAAUCCCCGGGCUCAACCUGGGAAUGGCAUUCGGGACUGCAAGGCUGGAGUGCGGCAGAGGAGACUGGAAUUCCUGGUGUAGCAGUGAAAUGCGUAGAUAUCAGGAGGAAUACCGAUGGCGAAGGCAGGUCCCUGGGCUGACACUGACGCUCAUGCACGAAAGCGUGGGGAGCAAACAGG
rnacentral:rRNA from 1 species